rnacentral:rRNA from 1 species
AGAGUUUGAUCCUGGCUCAGGAUGAACGCUGGCGGCGUGCUUAACACAUGCAAGUCGAACGGAGUGCUUCGGCACUUAGUGGCGGACGGGUGAGUAACGCGUGAGAAUCUACCUUCAGGUCUGGGACAACAGUUGGAAACGACUGCUAAUACCGGACGUGCCGAGAGGUGAAAGGCUUGCUGCCUGAAGAAGAGCUCGCGUCGGAUUAGCUAGUUGGUGGGGUAAGGGCCUACCAAGGCGACGAUCGGUAGCUGGUCUGAGAGGAUGAUCAGCCACACUGGGACUGAGACACGGCCCAGACUCCUACGGGAGGCAGCAGUGGGGAAUUUUGGACAAUGGGGGCAACCCUGAUCCAGCCAUGCCGCGUGCGGGAAGAAGGCCUUCGGGUUGUAAACCGCUUUAGUCCGGGAAAAAGGGAUGGGGUGCUAAUACCACCUUGUUUUGAUGGACCGGAAGAA